GGGUUCAGGGGUUCUCUAUUAUGGCUGUGUCCCCAGAUGUUGUACGGCUCAAUUCAACCAAAAAGCCACUAUCUUCCUCUGGUUUUCCAUGUGUUUUCCUCCCAAAGCUGAGAGCUUGGUCAAAGAUGAUGGACUUUUUAUGAUGGCAGAGAACUAUAUAUGUAUUUAGAAAUAUAAAUGCAGUUUCAAUUUCCGUCUAAAGCCUCCAUGUCAGCAGCUAAAUGCCAUUUAUUGAAUUCACAGGAAACAAAUGAGAACUGUGAACUUUUAAGAUCUAUAUCCAUAUAU
rnacentral:snRNA from 1 species